AACUUUUGGCGCAGUGGCUAACAGGGAUGGCUGAGACCCAUAAGACCGGGGUUCGAAUCCCCGCUGUGGUGA